CAAAAACAUGUCUUUUUGAUUAUAAUUUAAAGUCUAACCUGCCCAAUGAGGAGUUAAAUGGCCGCGGUAUUUUGACCGUGCAAAGGUAGCAUAAUCAUUAGUUUUUUAAUUGAAAGCUGGUAUGAAUGGUUGGACGAGAAAAUAACUGUCUCGAUUUAAAUUAAAUUAGAAUUUUAUUUAUGAGUAAAAAAGCUCAUAUGAGUUUAAAAGACGAGAAGACCCUAUAGAAUUUAAUAUAUGUAUAUAUAUAUUAUUUAUAGAAUUAAUAAUAAUUUAUAUAUAAUUAUAUUUUGUUGGGGUGAUAGAAAAAUUAAAUUAACUUUUUUUAUAUAAAAACAUUAAUGUAUGAAAAAAUGAUCCGUUAAUUACGAUUAUAAGAUUAAAUUACCUUAGGGAUAACAGCGUAAUUUUUUUUUAGAGUUCUUAUCGAAAAAAGAGUUUGCGACCUCGAUGUUGGAUUAAAAUUAACUUUUGGUGUAGGGGCU
rnacentral:rRNA from 1 species